GACGAACGCUGGCGGUAUGCUUAACACAUGCAAGUCGAACGAGAAAGUUUUGGUGGAUCCUUCGGGUGACAUUAGAACUGGAAAGUGGCGAACGGGUGAGUAACGCGUGGGUAACCUGCCCUAUGGAAAGGAAUAGCCUCGGGAAACUGGGAGUAAAGCCUUAUAUUAUGGUUUUGUCGCAUGGCAAGAUCAUGAAAACUCCGGUGCCAUAGGAUGGACCCGCGUCCCAUUAGCUAGUUGGUGAGAUAACAGCCCACCAAGGCGACGAUGGGUAACCGGUCUGAGAGGGCGAACGGUCACACUGGAACUGAGACACGGUCCAGACUCCUACGGGAGGCAGCAGUGGGGAAUAUUGCGCAAUGGGGGCAACCCUGACGCAGCAAUACCGCGUGAGUGAAGAAGGUUUUCGGAUCGUAAAGCUCUGUUAUUGGGGAAGAAGAAUGACGGUACCCAAUGAGGAAGUCCCGGCUAACUACGUGCCAGCAGCCGCGGUAAUACGUAGGGGACAAGCGUUGUCCGGAAUGACUGGGCGUAAAGGGCGCGUAGGCGGUCUAUUAAGUCUGAUGUGAAAGGUACCGGCUCAACCGGUGAAGUGCAUUGGAAACUGGUAGACUUGAGUAUUGGAGAGGCAAGUGGAAUUCCUAGUGUAGCGGUGAAAUGCGUAGAUAUUAGGAGGAACACCAGUGGCGAAGGCGGCUUGCUGGACAAAUACUGACGCU
rnacentral:rRNA from 1 species